GUAUCGUCUCCACAUGAGAUACCGAGCGUCCGUUAAUGUUUCCGAUUUUUGUGAAUGAUUCUUUCCUGUUUUUCUACUACUGAUCCUGCUUUGUCUAUGAUAUUGAAUUCGUGUAUGACCCUGCCUGCCUUCCUGACUCUUCGCUUCAUUUUGUGCUUUCGGUUUUGUUUUCCUCGCUAUAGUGGUUUUUCCGGGUUUGACUCGCGUUUGUUUUUUGACUAUGAUAGCUACAAUAAACCGCUAAUGGAUUCUACACCUGACGCCUCCGGCGAUUCAUUACACAUGCCAACUGAGAACAACCAACAGAUACCCUAAGCAUGAAAGAUGUUAGUAGUCCCUGGUGCACCAGUGACAGGAUCCCAUGCUCUCACUGUAACAGAAUGUGCAGAUCCAGAACACCAGAGGGAACCAUCACCCGAGUUUUGACAUCAUGAACUGACUUCUGCUGCCUGGGUAUUUAAACAGUAAUCAUCCCUUUGUUCCCUGCGAAGUAUUGUUCUCUCUGAGUGCAUACCGAGUGUUACCAUAGUAUUGCCUAGAUAGAUCGUGUAUGAUCCUUGCCUGUUCCUAUUCGACAUAGAGUUUCGGUUUUGCAAUUUAGUUUUGGUUUCAAGAGUGUAUUGUUUGCAGAAUUUUGACCCUUUUGCUUUUUAUCCAUACCUACUACGAGUAUUGCCUGCUGUUUUAUGAAUACAGUUCUGCAAAUGGAUUCAGAUCAACCCACUUUGAGUGUGUCCUUACAGGAUACUUCACCAGAAGAGAAUCCAGAAGAACUACAAGCCAUGAUUGUGUGUCAAGGACAUAUGAUCCGCACGUACCAAGAUCAAGUGGCAGAGCUCCAAGCCAUGAAGACUCAACUACAGACUCGGCCCCCUGCAGCUGCCAUGACACCUGCACCAACCCCUCACAGUGAGUUACCACAAUUCGCACUGCCUGAGAAGUUUGAUGGUGCCACUGAUCUCUGCUGUGGCUUUCUGAGCCAGUGUGAUAACUUCUUUGCACAGAAGCCUGAAGUCUAUGGCAACUAAACCACCCAGUGGGAAAAGCACUCGACUGGGCUUCAGCGGUGUGGGACUCAGGUGAAAACCUCUGCCGACUACUUUGCUAACCUGAUCAAGGAGGUAUUCAAGUACCCAGCAGGUGGGAAGGACAUUUUGGUACAGUUGCUGAAAUUAAGCCAAGGGUCCGAUACGGUGGCGGACUUCACAAUUAAGUUCCAUAUGCUGGUGGCACAAUCGGGAUGGAAUGAGAUGGCACUAGUGGCAGUGUUCUGCAAGGGUCUCAAUGUAGAUUUGAAGGCAGGGGGGCGACGUCACACUGUCACAAUAUAUCUCCACCGCCAUACCUCUCGAUAAUCUCCGAUGCCAGCAUCGACUUCCAGCCACCACGCCAUGUCCCAUACCCCAUUGAGAGGAAACCACAGAGCCCAUGCAACUCGGGAGAUCUCGUGUCUCAGAAGGGGAGCGCGUAUGUCGCACCCGGCUACAGCUAUGAUUCUACUGUGGACAACCAGGUCACCGAGUCUUCAAAUGUCUGGAGAAGCCUAACCAGCGUUGAUUGACUCCGGAUCGGCAAUGAAUCUUAUCGACAGCGGAUUGGUGCAUGAGCUCGGGAUCACUACCAUUCUGUGCUCUCCACCACUAUCAAGUCACCGCUAUCAACGAUCAACCCAUCAGGGAGGGCCUGAUCACUCACCACACACCACUCAUGGACAUGCAGAUAGGACUGUUUCAUCUUGAAAGAUUUUUUAUCAUCUCCUCUCCGUCCAACCCUGUCAUCCUAGGCCUUCCCUGGCUCCAGAUUUACGAUCCUGUUAUCUCCUGGAAGGAGGGGGAACUAAGGGGGUGGUCAACUUAUUGUCGUGGCAGGAGGAUGAAAAGUGAAUGUGAGGAGUGUGUGGGGUAUUCCACAAUGCUGUUGGCUUUGCAGAUGCAGUGUGUGGUGUAUAGUCUGUGAUAGAGGGGAGUGAGAGACCAGUGAUUUUCUCAGCUGUCCUCACUAUCCAUUGAAGAGUCUUGCAAUUCCCAAACCAGUCAUGCAGGUGUUUAGGAUGCUCUCAAUGGUCCCUCUGUAGAACAUGGUCAGGAUGGGGGAAGAGAGAUGGACUUUCCUCAGUCUUUGUAGAAAGUAGAGACACUGCUGGGCUUUCUUACUGAUGGAGCUGGUGUUAAGUGACCAGAUGAAAUUGUCCACCAGAUGAACACUAAGGAAUUUGGUGCUCCUAACGAUCUCCACAGAGGAUCUGUCGAUCUUCAGUGGAAAAUGGUUGCUCUGUGCUCUCCUGAAGUCAACAACCAUCUGUUUAGUUUUGUUAGUGUUCAGAGGCAGGUUGUUGGCUCUACACUAGGCUAUUAGCUGUUGCACCUCCUCUCUGUAUGCUGACACAUCAUUCCUGCUGAUGAGACCCACCAUGUUUGUGUCAUCGGCAAGCUUGAUAAUGUGGUUUGAGCUGUGCAUUUUUACACAGUCAUGAGUCAGCAGAUUGAACAGAAGUGGGUUGAGCACACAGCCCAGAAGGGCCUCAAUGCUCAGUGUGGUGGUGCUGGAGAUGUGGUGGUGCUUUCCCAAUCUGGACUGACUGAGGUCUUCAAUUCAGGAAGUCCAGGAUCCAGUUGUAGAGGGAGGUGUUCAGGCCCAGCAGGCUUAGCUUCUCAAUUGUGUGUUGAGGGAUGAUUGUGUUGAAUGCUCUUGAAUGUCCAGGUAGUUGAGGGCCAAAUGGAGGUUUGUGGCAAUGGCAUCAUCCGCAGAGCAGUUUGGAUGAUACUCAAACUGCAGGGGGUCAAGUGAGGGUGGUAGCUGGGUCUUGAUGUGACUCAUGACAAGCCUCUCAAAGCUCUUCAUCAGGUGUGUGUGUUUUGCCUCUCUGUUGGCUCGGGACAGUUUGGCCCUUGCUGAUCUUGCUGUCUUGUCUCCUAAAGGUGGAGUCUCUAGACUUCAGCAGCGCACAACAUCUGUCAGUCAGUGCAUUCCAAACAGUCCUGAAGUGUAGAGGUGGCUGCUGCUGGCCAGGUAUUCACCUUUUUCAGAACCAGUUAAGAGCAUCUGAUCAGUGGUCUGUAUGCUGGAAUUAAUAUAACAGAGCAUUCACAGUAGUGAAUUCCUGUGGUCCCACUGCCUCUGGUGUCCAUGCACUUUGAAAAGUCAGGCAAAUCACACGGAAAGCACCAUUUUGGAUCUGGAGUGGCUGCUGCAUGCUCCUGCCACACCGCCAUCUUGGAGAAGGCCUGCAUGAUGACCAGAUGGUUGCCUUGGGGAUGUAUCCCACCCUGGGCUGCAGGAUAGUUUUGGACAUUCCUGGGGCAAAUUCUAAGCAGGCAGGGGCAACUGAUAGAGGCCAAGGCUAAGAUCAAAGCUAUCCUUAGGGUCAGAAACUUCUCAGAGGCUAACUCCAUCCAGCAGCCAGUAGAGAAAGGUGAGACUGUAGAAACUGUAGCACAUUACUGACUGGGCAGUGGAUCUUUAUGGCACUGAUCACACCACCUUAUGGCGGACCACAAGAGAUUGCCUCGGGGUUCAACCCCAUAGUCAAGUUCUUUUUGCAGGUCAGCCUGCUAGGCCUGAAAGACUACCAUGGUGUACAGGGCCACACCAGCUUGGCCUACUGCCAUGUAUGCCUUCCCCACAAGGGGGGAGGUGGCUCUACAUGGUUUAAAAUGAGGCACAGGCUUCCUCCAUAUGGGUGAUGUAGGGGAGAGAUAGCUCACAAGUGUCUCUUCAACCCUAGGAAUGGCCACAUAUCCGUAGUCUUUGAGCCCCACAAUGGAAGAAUAAUUAGAGCUGGCCAGGGAAAACAACUGGAAUCUGAAAUGAGAUGUUUAGUGAACACAUAUGAGCAUGAUAGUCAAAUGUCCUCAAAUGUUUGGUUAUGUAAUGUAUCUUUUCAAGUUUACUUUAUUUCAAAAAGCCGAUUUCACUGAUUCAGAGUAAUAAUAUCCUAUUUCCUGAUAGGUUACAUUUAUAAGUUAAAUGAUUUAUGAGUCAAAACCUGAUGGAUAUUUAAUUUUAAAAAACUAUUUGAGAAUAAAGAGAUUAAAUUAUAGAUUAUACUAUUUUUUAUGUUACUUAAAAUCUCCACAUGUUCAUUCUUUUUUU